rnacentral:rRNA from 1 species
AUUGAACGCUGGCGGAAUGCUUUACACAUGCAAGUCGAACGGCAGCACGGACUUCGGUCUGGUGGCGAGUGGCGAACGGGUGAGUAAUACAUCGGAACGCGUCCUGUAAUGGGGGAUAACCUGGCGAAAGCCAGGCUAAUACCGCAUACGUCCUGAGGGAGAAAGCGGGGGAUCGCAAGACCUCGCGUUAUAGGAGCGGCCGAUGUCGGAUUAGCUAGUUGGUGGGGUAAAGGCCCACCAAGGCGACGAUCCGUAGCGGGUCUGAGAGGAUGAUCCGCCACACUGGGACUGAGACACGGCCCAGACUCCUACGGGAGGCAGCAGUGGGGAAUUUUGGACAAUGGGGGGCAACCCUGAUCCAGCCAUGCCGCGUGCGGGAAGAAGGCCUCGGUUGUAA